rnacentral:rRNA from 1 species
CUGCAUCGGCGUGCUACACAUGCAAGUCGUACGAGAAAUCCCGGGCAACUGGGAGAGUAAAGUGGCGCACGGGUGAGUAACGCGUGGGUAAUCUACCUUGGAGUUCGGAAUAACACCUCGAAAGGGGUGCUAAUACCGGAUAUCGUCCCAGGGGUUUCGGCUCCGGGGAUGAAAGAUGGCUGAGGCUUGCAAGCUAUUGCUCCAAGAUGAGCCCGCGUACCAUUAGCUAGUUGGUGGGGUAACGGCCCACCAAGGCAAUGAUGGUUAGCUGGUCUGAGAGGAUGACCAGCCACACUGGAACUGAGAUACGGUCCAGACUCCUACGGGAGGCAGCAGUGAGGAAUCUUGCGCAAUGGGGGCAACCCUGACGCAGCAACGCCGCGUGAGUGAUGAAGGCCUUCGGGUCGUAAAGCUCUGUCAGGCGGAAAGAAUGUUUCCAGGGUGAACAAUCCUGGAGAUUGACGGUACCGCCAGAGGAAGCACCGGCUAACUCCGUGCCAGCAGCCGCGGUAAUACGGAGGGUGCUAGCGUUGUUCGGAAUUAUUGGGCGUAAAGAGCGUGUAGGCGGCCUCGUAAGUCAGAUGUGAAAGCCCUUGGCUUAACCAAGGAAGUGCAUUUGAAACUGCCUGGCUUGAGUACGGGAGGGGAAAGCGGAAUUCCCGGUGUAGAGGUGAAAUUCGUAGAUAUCGGGAGGAACACCGGUGGCGAAGGCGGCUUUCUGGACCGAUACUGACGCUGAGACGCGAAAGCGUGGGGAGCAAACAGGAUUAGAUACCCUGGUAGUCCACGCCGUAAACUUUGGGCACUAGGUGUUGCGGGUAUUGACCCCUGCAGUGCCGAAGCUAACGCAUUAAGUGCCCCGCCUGGGGAGUACGGUCGCAAGACUAAAACUCAAAGGAAUUGACGGGGGCCCGCACAAGCGGUGGAGUAUGUGGUUCAAUUCGACGCAACGCGAAGAACCUUACCUGGGUUUGACAUCCCGAGAAUCCCGCAGAACGCGGGCGUGCCUCUUCGAGGACUCGGUGACAGGUGCUGCAUGGCUGUCGUCAGCUCGUGUCGUGAGAUGUUGGGUUAAGUCCCGCACGAGCGCACUUUGCCUUUAGUUGCCAGCAUUGAGUGGCACUCUAAAGGGACUGCGGUGUUAAACCGAGAGGUGGAGAUGACGUCCAAGUCCUUCUAUGGCCCCAAGGU